UACAGAGGGGGCAAGCGUUGUUCGGAAUUACUGGGCGUAAAGGGCGCGUAGGCGGCCUUCUAAGUCGAACGUGAAAUCCCCGGGCUCAACCCGGGAACUGCGUCCGAUACUGGAAGGCUUGAAUCCGGGAGAGGGAUGCGGAAUUCCAGGUGUAGCGGUGAAAUGCGUAGAUAUCUGGAGGAACACCAAAGGCGAAGGCAGUGUCCUGGGGAGUACCUGACGCUCAGGUGCGAAAGCCAGGGGAGCGAACGGG
rnacentral:rRNA from 1 species